rnacentral:rRNA from 1 species
UACAGAGGUCUCAAGCGUUGUUCGGAUUCAUUGGGCGUAAAGGGUGCGUAGGCGGCGCGGUAAGUCGGGUGUGAAAUCUCGGGGCUUAACUCCGAAACUGCAUUCGAUACUGCCGUGCUUGAGGACUGGAGAGGAGACUGGAAUUUACGGUGUAGCGGUGAAAUGCGUAGAUAUCGUAAGGAAGACCAGUGGCGAAGGCGGGUCUCUGGACAGUUCCUGACGCUGGAGGCACGAAGGUCAGGGGAGCAAACGGG